rnacentral:rRNA from 1 species
UACGUAGGGUGCGAGCGUUGUCCGGGAUUAUUGGGCGGAAAGGGCUCGUAGGCGGUCUGUCACGUCGGGAGUGAAAACUCGGGGCUUAACCCCGAGCCUGCUUCCGAUACGGGCAGACUAGAGGUAUGCAGGGGAGAACGGAAUUCCUGGUGUAGCGGUGAAAUGCGCAGAUAUCAGGAGGAACACCGGUGGCGAAGGCGGGUCUCUGGGCCGAUACUGACGCUGAGGAGCGAAAGCGUGGGGAGCGAACAGG